AGCAGCCGCGGUAAUUCCAGCUCCAAUAGCGUAUAUUAAAGUUGUUGCAGUUAAAAAGCUCGUAGUUGAAUUUCGAGACCGGUUUACUGGUCGUGCUUUUGUACGUACUGGUAUUAUUGGUUUCUCCUUUCUGACGAAUCUUAAUGCCAUUAAUUUGGUGUUUUGGGGAAUCAGGACUGUUACUUUGAAAAAAUUAGAGUGUUUAAAGCAGGCUCACGCUUGAAUACAUUAGCAUGGAAUAACGGAAUAGGACGUUUGAUUCUAUUUUGUUGGUUUCUAGGAUCGACGUAAUGAUUAAUAGGGAUAGUUGGGGGCAUUAGUAUUCAAUUGUCAGAGGUGAAAUUCUUGGAUUUAUUGAAGACUAACUACUGCGAAAGCAUUUGCCAAGGAUGUUUUCA
rnacentral:rRNA from 1 species